UACGGGGGGAGCAAGCGUUGUUCGGAUUUACUGGGCGUAAAGGGCGCGUAGGCGGUCGUGACAAGUCACUUGUGAAAUCUCCGGCUUAACUCGGAACGGUCAAGUGAUACUGUCGGACUAGAGUACAGAAGGGGCAACUGGAAUUCUCGGUGUAGCGGUGAAAUGUGUAGAGAGUCGGGAGGAACGACCGGUGGCGAAGGCGGGCUACUGGGCCCACCCUGACGCUGAGGCGCGAAAGCGUGGGGAGCAAACGGG
rnacentral:rRNA from 1 species